AGGAAAGAAUGUACACCUUAUACUGAGUAUUUCAGUUGAAUGCUGCUUUUAAUUAAUUUUGCAUGUUGUGCUGUUUUUAUUUCACCAUGCAUGUUUUUUACGUGUGCUGUGUUUUAUUCUUUUUAGCAUGUUUUUACGUGUGAACUGUGCAGUGGCAGAGACACACCCCCACCAGUCCCUGAUUACAGGAUGAGCAUCAGGUGUGCUAGGCGGCACACCAGCUAAACAGUUUGUUGGAGACGGUGUGGUGGACAGAGACACAGAGACAAAGAGCGGGGCAGGAGAGACAGCGGGGCAGAAGAGGCAGUGUGCGGUCCACAGUGUUUUUUAAAAAAAGAAGCAGCCAGGGAGGAAUCAAGGCAGCAGGGUCUCAGAGACUCAGCCAAGUCAUCAAGGAGCAACGUGGUGGCUACGGAGCAGCCGGUCUCCGCCAACACAGUUUACCUCGGGCCUGGGUCUGCAUUUGGACAGCUGCCACCCAGGAAAACCGUGGGUAUAUCUCAACAUAACUGAACGGCAAACAUAGAGUUCGGACGGGUUGGUGAGCCCGGCAGCUGGCGUGGAAGAGGAACGGAGCACAUUGGAGCAGCAGUAGAUGUGGAUACAGUGUACGGGAGAGGAACCGCUGGGCUGGACUUGGACUUUUUGAUGGGCUGCAUCCCCGCUGCAAAGUGACCUUUCACUUUUUAGUAGUUUACUCUUUAUUCAGUACUGUUUAUCUGGGUGGUGCCAUCCCUUGUUCUUUGACUGUAAUAAAUUUGGUUUUAAUUGAA